GGGGAUUUAGCUCAGCGGCAUAAGCGCCUGCCUUGCAAGCAGGCAGUCGUGAGUUCUAUCCCCG
rfam:Cavia porcellus supercont2_115 genomic scaffold, whole genome shotgun sequence.